UAGCAAUACUUAGUGGCAGACGGGUGAGUAACAUGUGGGUAUCUGCCCUUUGGCCUGGAAUAACACGAGGAAACUUGUGCUAAUACCGGAUAAGUCUUUACGGAGAAAGCUUUAUGCACCAUUGGAUGAGCCCGCACUUGAUUAGUUUGUUGGUGGGGUAAUGGCCUACCAAGACUGUGAUCAAUAGCUGAUUUGAGAGGAUGAUCAGCCACAUUGGGACUGAGACACGGCCCAAACUCCUACGGGAGGCAGCAGUGGGGAAUCUUGCACAAUGGAGGAAACUCUGAUGCAGCGAUGCCGCGUGAGUGAAGAAGGCCUUUGGGUUGUAAAGCUCUUUCGUCGGGGAAGAAAAUG
rnacentral:rRNA from 1 species